rnacentral:tRNA from 1 species
GCUCGCUUGGUGAAAAUGGAAAACACGAUGGGUUUAAAAUCCAUUCUCAGCAUAUUUGAGUUAUUGGUUCGAGUCCAAUAGCGAGUAC